CCGGAUUUUAUGUGUGUUCUGGGAAUCUGAACUCAGACUAUCAGACUUCUGCAGCAAGAGCUUUAAGCGCAGAGCCCUCUUCUCAGAGUAGUGGCAGAUUUUCAUCGUGAUCACUGUCCUCCCCAGACAUACCAGGAAUGCAAGAUCCAGAGUUUGGCAGAUGAUUGACCUAAGAUCCAUAAACAGAAGCAAGAAAUACAUAGAGACUGGAGGACACUGCAGUGGUGGAG